rnacentral:rRNA from 1 species
ACGCUAGCGGCAGGCUUAAUACAUGCAAGUCGUGGGGCAGCAGGGGCGUAGCAAUACGCUCGCUGGCGACCGGCAAACGGGUGUGGAACACGUACACAACCUUCCUUUAAGUGGGGAAUAGCCCGGGGAAACCCGGAUUAAUACCCCGUAACAUAGUGAAAAGGCAUCUUUUUACUAUUAUAGCAGCAAUGCGCUUGAUGAUGGGUGUGCGCCUGAUUAGGCAGUUGGCGGGGUAACGGCCCACCAAACCUACGAUCAGUAACUGGUGUGAGAGCACGACCAGUCACACGGGCACUGAGACACGGGCCCGACUCCUACGGGAGGCAGCAGUAAGGAAUAUUGGUCAAUGGACGCAAGUCUGAACCAGCCAUGCCGCGUGGAGGAUGAAGGUCCUCUGGAUUGUAAACUUCUUUUAUCUGGGAAGAAACCCACGAAUUCUUUUGUGGUUGACGGUACCAGAUGAAUAAGCACCGGCUAACUCCGUGCCAGCAGCCGCGGUAAUACGGAGGGUGCAAGCGUUAUCCGGAUUCACUGGGUUUAAAGGGUGCGUAGGUGGGCAGGUAAGUCAGUGGUGAAAUCUCCGGGCUUAACUCGGAAACUGCCAUUGAUACUAUCUGUCUUGAAUACCGUGGA